GGGGUGGCGGGUCUGAACCUGCUCCUCCCUCUUCUCAAUACCCCAUAAAGUCUCCUGGCAAACCCGAGAUCCAAGGCCAGGACGCAAAAGCCUAAUCAUUUCUAAAGGGGCUUGGCGUUCCUGUGUGGCUCAGCAGAUUAAGAACCCAAAUACUGUCCAUGAGGGAUGCAGGUUCGAUCCCUGGCCUCGCUCCUUGGCUUCAGGAUCCAGUGUUGCCGCAGCUGCAGCUCGGAUCCCAUGUUGCUGUGGCUGUGGUGUAGGCUGGCAGCCGCAGCUCCUCUUUGACCCCUAGCCCAGGAACCUCUAUAUGCUGCAGGCGUAGCCCUAAAAAGAGGUUUUAAAAAGAAAAAAAAGUAAGUUUGCUCUUUCCUCUUCGCCCGAGAAAGAGCCCACAUACUUCACAGGUGGGCGGGGGCGGAGCCAGGCUCCCAGCCCGCGGGGGAACGUUCGUGUCCCGUGGAGCUGCCUCCAGGUCCUCGACUUCCUCCUUCCUUCUUGCCAUGUUGUCCCCCCCACCCCACCCCCCUGCAGGCUGCAGACAUUUCCUUUUAUUCCACAUUCCUGAGUUUAGCCACUUCCUGGAUACCACGUUUGCUGUGAUGGCUGCUGACAGUACCGGUAGGCGAGUCUGGCUUUGUGGGCCACCGGGGUGUCCUUGCCGGCUGCCGGCUCCUCUCCAUCCACGCGGCCACGCGGUCACAUGCUCCCCCGGACCCUUUGUGGUGAAGGUUGGCCAGAUUCAUGGUCCAGCCUGCCACCGUCCCCAAAUGCCAUCACCACCGCACCAGCUCCUGGCUUGGUCGGGAGGGAACCUUGGCCCUAAAGCUCCCCUUUAUGAGGUGGGUGGGUCAGGAGCACCUUCAGAGCAUGUGGCCCACUGCCCACAGGUCACGUGCAGCACCCCCGGCCCCUGGAACCUGCUCCGGAGCAGCCUCGGUCCUUGGCUCCAUCCGGGCUGCUGGCUCUCUAAAGGGUGGUUGGCAAACAUCGUUGAGCACCUAGCAUGCGCCCAACCACUGUCCCAGCCCCGGGGACACAGCCCUGUCAGUCCCUGCCUGCUGGGGGCGGUGGGGGCCCUUCCGGUAAGGGGACGUGGGGAAACGUUGUUGUGGGCAGUUCCCUUAGACUGAUGAGGACAUAGCCGUGGAAGGUGCUCGAUUUUCAAGCAGAAGGAGAGAUGUGCAAGGGCUUCGAAACGCAAACUCUCUUAGUAGGUGACCAAGGGGAAGAAGGUGGCCUGGCGGUCGGGGAGGAGGGGGACAGGGUGAGGUCCCAGAGCGGUCACCCUCAGCGGUCACACUCUGGGAUCAAAGGCCACGCUGCCCACCUCCUGAAGGCCACUGUCCUGGAGGAGCAGGACUCCCACCCAACCCUCCCUCCCUCGGGGCUUAGCCAUUGAUCUGAGCAGCACACCGGCUGUGGGAAGAGGGGUGGUUUAACCCCUGUCAGCUAGUUUCCUGGAGGCCGGUGGGCGGGAUCCUUUAUGAGCUCCCUCUGGGAGGGCGGAGAGAGGUCUGCUAGAGGCCAUAGUGGCCGUGGAGGGGAGAGCUGGUGAGAGUGGGUCCUGCGGGGAGGCAGGCCCGGCAGUACCCAGCUGUGAACCAGAUGUGGGGAGGAAGGCCCAGCUGGAGGCCAUCUGGCUGGCCCACCCCUCGUCACCCCCAGUCACCCCCUCAGAUGAGGGUCCAAAGACCUGGGAGUCAUCUCUGGUUCUGCCGAGUCAUCCUCAGUGUCUUCUAGCCAAUGGAGAGAAUGGCCCCUUGCUCAGGGGUGGCAGGGGAGACGGUGGCAGAGAACUUGGUAAAGACCAGCGAAAGCAGGGCCUGGGCUUCCUCCCUUCCCGAGGUCCCUCGAGGCCCCCAGAGAGCACUCAGCCAACAUCUGGUGGGUCAGGGAGCGGAUUUCAGCGACGCGGACAAGGAUGCUUUCUUGGACAAACACUGGGCUUGCAGGAGGACAUGUUCCUGUUUGAUUUCAGCAUCAGGUGCUGCUCCCUUGUAUGCUUCUCUCUCUGCCCCUGAACACUGCUGAUCCGGAGCGGCACACCUGGGGAGGUAGGCGAGACACGGCUGGAAGGUUCGUGUUCGUGUUUCCUUACACCCUCAGGAUCACGACAGCUCAUGGCAGAGUGUGUGUGUGUGUGCACACGUCCACAUGUUUCCUCCUGCACGUCAGAGAUGCCACAGCCCAGGAUGCUGAUUCUCAAUGUCCCUUGCGAUGGCGUGGAAGCUGGGCAGGGACAGAGCCGUCAGCACGGAGCCCCCAAAGGGGAGAAGCUCUCAAACUCCUCCGAGGAGCUGGGCAGCCUGGCUCAAUGAAAAUCCGCAACAAGUUUUUUAGUUUUCACUUGCAGUGACUUAUUCAUCCUCCCAGAACUUUCUCUGACAGUAAGAGAACACACAACGAAGCAGAGUACAAGGAAGUGGAACUCAGUUCAUCUGAUGAGCUGCCCACACCCGCUGAGUCACUCAUAAUGGCCCCUCAGAUGUCAUUUUCUUGCUAAGACAUUUGGAAAAAUUUCUGCCUCUGAAUCACAAGCAAACACUAUAAUUCAACAAUCUUCUCUAAGUUAUUCAAGGAACUUCAAUGCACUCAGCAGUGGAAGCUCAGGGGCGGAUGAAAUCAAUGAAUUCUCUUGAGAACUUUGUUUUUCUCCUAAUUAAGUUUCCUUUGCCAAGUGGAGGGUGGGGGGAGCACCACCUGACCCCCAGGGGACAGCUCAGGGGAAGCCUGGAAGCAGCCGAUUUGGGGUUUCGGGAUGACAUUGGGUUUCCCUUAUCGUCUUGGUUCUGUUCCCAUAAUAGACCCAAGUGUCAUCCAGGAAGGGGCUCGCUCCCACUGCCUCUCCUCGAGGACUCUCCCUGCGACAGCCGGCCGGAGGAGGGGCGUUUUGACGAAGGGCUUAAGCAUCUCAGAGUCCUGGCACGGCAGGCACCAUUGCCGUGCCGGGUCACCCCGGGGGCGCAGGGACGUCUCGCUCCUGCCCUCUGCCCCCGGAAGCUCUGCUCCCCUGCACCUGCCUUUGCUGCAGCUCUUCUCCGGGGACACAGCGACUUCGUCACUUGCUGCGCUUCAGGGCACGGGGUCACUUGCAGCCUGGCAGGAGAGCAGGACUUUGGUCUCCCCAGGGCCCCGUUCACCCGUGUCACGGGCAGGGGCCACUUCCCGGGGGCUGGGAAAGGCAGUGUGUAUGCACCACCUGGCAGGCUUUCCCUCACCUGGCAGCCAGAGGGUCGCGUGUUCCCGGGCAGGAGCAGGGUCCUUCGUGAAGGAGGACAAAGGGCUGGAGACAGGCUGAUUUCAGACCUGCUGCACGUCCUGCCGCUCUGCGCUGCCGGGACGUGUUCAGUCCAGGUGGGCAGCCACCUGUGCCCACAACGAACACAGGCCUGACACGUGGUAGGGGCUCAGACCCAGGUGCUGGGCAAUGGUGCCAUCCACACAGUCAGUCACUUGCUGCCUUCCAUCCUGCUGAAACCUCUGCCUGCCCAGGGGGUAGAGGGCCGCUCAGUUUUUGGAGCAAAUAAGCUUUUCCCCAGCAAAGAAAACCAUAAACUAAACAAAAAGACAGCCUAUGUCAUAGGAGAAAAUCAUCGCAAGCAAUGCAACCAACAAGGGCUUAAUUUCCGAAAUAUACAAACAGCUCAUGCAACUCAACAACAAAAAACCCAAUGGAAAAAUGAGCAAAAGCACUAAAUGGACAUUUCUCCGAAGAAGCAACACAGAUGUCAACAGGCACCUGAGAAGAUGCUCCACACCACUGGUGAUUAGAGAAAAGUGCAAAUCGAAACUGUGAGGUACCACCCCACACCCGUCAGAAUGGCCAUCACUAGUAAGCCUACAAAUAACAAAUGCUGGAGAGGGGGUGGAGAAAAGGGAGCCUCCUACACUGUUGGUGGGAACGUGAGUUGGCGGAGCCACUCUGGAGAACAAUGUGGAGGUUCCUCAAGAAAACCAAAAGUAGGAGUUCCCGCUGCGGCACAGUGGGUUAAGAAUCUGACUGCAGUGCCUCAGGUUGCUGUGGAGGCAGGCGUUGGAUGCCUGGUGCAGUGGGUUAAAGAGUCUGGUGUUGCUGUAGCUGUGGCUUGGAUUUGAUCCCUGGCUCAGGAACUUCCAU
rnacentral:lncRNA from 1 species